AUAUAAUAAUAGUGGUGAUUAAGAUUUAGGAGUGAGAUUUGAAUAAAUAAAAGAACUGAAUAAAUUAUUGUUAGAGAAAUAUACAGUAACAUAUUGUUAAUCAAAAUUUAAAAUAAAACCAAAAAAUAAUGAGAAAAAUGAAAGGGUCAAAACAAUUUAUAUAGGUAAAUUUUUUUAAGAUUUCUUUCCUUUUAAUAGUAUCGAUGAAACAUCAGCCGUACGAUGUCUAAAAAAAAAGAGAAAGGGAGACUUUGUUAUAUGAUUAACACGUUUCUUAACCGAACUCUAUUGAAAAAAACAUUAACAAAUUUACGCAUCAUGUUAUAUGAUAAUAGAACUUCAUCGUGAUGUCAAUACAUGAAUGCCAUAGGGACUGCCGUGAAACAUCAAGCACGCUGCCUUCUCCCUCACAGCUCCAAGUCAACAUGCUCUCACUGGAAUCCAUGGCCACGAAAAAAUCCACUGCGGUGUCUUGCGAAGGUAGCUCUGUCGUCUUCGAAUCAAAGCCUCGCCGUCGCGUAUCGAAGUGCAGGUCAGAUCGAAGAACAACCUUAGCGUAUUUUCACAUAUGGUCCUUCAUCAUUUGUAGGGUUUUGUUUUUGACCUCAAACUUAUUAAUUUACAGUUUCUCCUCGAAUUCAGUCUCAAAUUUGCAAUUGUGCACUCUAGCCCCUAUUAUAUGCAAUCGAACAUAUAAUUGCAAUAUAUACCUAAAUGCAACCUAUAAUGACCAAAAUGAAAUGAUUUUUUUUUGUAACACAAAAAAGUAAAAUGAAAUGUUUAAAACCAAUAAAAUCAUGAAAUACACACAUGAGUGAAUACACAUAGGUAUUAAGGCUCCGAAUGGUAACUGCGGUUUGAGCGGUGCGGGACAAUCGGUUCAACUGUGGUGCAACUGCGGUGCGGUUUUAACAGUUAUAAAAACGUAUAGAUAUAUGGUAUAUGUAGAGAUUUUUGUUACUGUUAACUGCGGUGCGAGGCGGUUGUAAACAUUCGAAGCAUAAGAGUUAGAUGUAAACUUAUUUACAAAUCUGUGAAUAAGAUUUGUGAAUCUUUUGUUUGAUGUAAACUUAUUCACAAAUCUUAUUUAACUUUGUUUUUAGAUCUUUUUCCUGAGAAUGAAACAAACUGAUAUGUUUUCAUUCAUGUUACGGGUGGUUUGAAUCAGCAGCGACUGAUGUAUGUAUCAUGUUCUUAUCUCCUUUCCUCUAUCUGCGGCUUUAUCAUAGUAAUAUGCAAAAAAAUUUUUUUGAUGAAUUGAGCUAUGGCUUUUAUUCUCCAGUUGUGUAAUGUAGUAGAUGUUGUCAAGAUUAUGAAUGCAACUAUAAUCCAACCAGUCCGUAAGCUUAUUCACAUAUUGAUUCAAUCUCCUCUUAAAUUUCAAAGUUUAUAGUUAUUUCUACUAUCAACCAUGGUCCAUCCAUUUUACCAGAAGAAAAAAAAGUCUUGGUCCAUCUUUUUAAUAUAUUCCAACAGUUUGAUUCUAAAAUAUUGCGCUAUACAAGUCUUGUUUUAACUAUUACUUAAUUAAGCAUAACAUAUUGUAGAAUUUUAAUAUAAUGUCCAAUGGAAAUUAUGAACAAGCUGUAUAGUAAAUUUAGUUACUUUUCAGGUAAUUUCACCCCCGCACAAGGUGCGGAUCUCCACCUAGUACCAAAUUACUUUCGAAGACAACCGAUUAACAUCUUCUCGUUUCUUUUUUGUUUUUUUUCUCCCCAAUUAACAUUAACAUAUGUUUAUUAUUUUAUUUUAUUUUAUUUUCAUCAUCAUUUAUCUCUAUUACUUUUCUUCAGCUGUGUAAAUAUUAUAAAUAUAUAUUAUUUUUUAUAUUUAGGUUUAGGUUUAUUGAUUGGGAUUUAGGGUUUUGUAUUUGUGAGUCGGGAUAAUGUUUACUAUUAAAGAUUGUGGGUGGGUUAUAAUUCUAUAUUAUUUCUGCCAUAUGGAUUAGAAGAUUUAGUGCAUAUGUGUGUGGUCAAUAAAUGUGUGAUGUGGAUGGUUUCUCCUUCUUUCAUCUCUAUUUAUAUAGUAUAAUAUAAUAUUACAAAAUAUUAUAUAUAUUUUCAGAUUUUUAAUUUCUAUAAAAAUAUUAUAAACAUAUAUGUUUAUAUUUAGGUUUGGGUUUAGUGAUUGAGAUUUAGGGUUUAAUAUUAUGGGUUGGGGUAAAUUUUAGUAUUAUGGGUUGUGGGUAGGAUUAUAAUCUUAUAUUAUUUCGGUCAUAUAAGAUUAGGGCUGUGGAUGGUUUCUCCUUCCUUCAUGUCUAUUUAUAUAAGUAUAAUAUAAUAUUACAAAAUAUUAUAUAUAUAUAUAUAUAUACAUAUAUAAACCCAAUUUUUUAAAAAAAUAUUAAUACUUUGAUUUUAUAAAUAUAAUUUUUAGAUUUAUUAUAAUAAUAUGAUUUUCAUAUUUUCUUAUUUUGUGAAGUGUUAAUAUUGUUAAUUUACUAUUAAAUUGAUGUUGCAUUUGGUAACAACCAGUCUUAAGUAUCCGCAAAUACACCAAUUUUUAACCGUUGUACCAAUCGUACAAACCACAUAAUAACGCUUAAAACCGCAACAACCGCAACCACCCAUAUCCGCGGCUGCUGCGUUUACACUUUUUUGUACACAUUUUCUCUCCUCAGUUAUCAUUUUCCGCUUUCCUCACUCAGUUAUUUUUUAAAAUAAUAAGUUAAUUCACUCAAAGUUUUUGGCUCUUUGCAUUUAUGAGGGGAACAUAUUGAUCUAGAUUUAGUGCUUUUUGUUUCCUUAACUUGAAUGAUGUUGUUGAAGGUUUUGCCUAACCUGGAGAGAUGUUUGAAGAGUGUGUGGACUUUGGUGUGAUUGGUGGAAACUCUCGCCUGGUGUAUAAAGGGUGUGCAUCAGCAAUGUUGUUUGUAAAUUUAUUGCAUGUUUUUAGUGGACUUGGCCCUCAAGUUCCAAAUUGGUGUUUGGAAGUUGGGAUGUAUUGAAAUGUGGAUUUUAAAAGUUUGGGUGGAUUUGAAAAAAUAUUGGAGUUUGAAGAGAUUUGGGUUAAAUCCCAAAACGAUGGGUGGGAUUUAAAAAAAGGAAAAUAGAUUUGGAUAGGAUUUUUUAAAAAUUUCAGAGUACUUGAGGUCAUUUGAACUUAAAUUUCAGAGUACUUUUCAAAGUCCAAUUAUUUUAAAACAUGAAGUAAUCACUAUUUUUUCCAAAAGAGUAAAAACGUGAAAUUUCAAUAUUUUGUCUUCUUCCUUCGUUUGUGAGAACGAGAGAAAGAGCUAUAGAUCAAAGUUUGCAGAUACUCUUCCAUAUCCAACUUCCUGAGGUUGACUCAUCGAGAUCCCAAAAGCAAGAAGAUCCAAUGGCAUAUUACAUAAUCAAUUCGUCUUGUACUUCUUCCAAUUCAAUCUCUGCAACAAGUUUGAACAGCAGUCUCUUGACAAUAUUCAAGAUAGCUCCAGAACUUACUAAAAGCCAAUAUAAUAGAUCAAAAUUGUUUAUCAAAAAACCAAAUUCAUAAACCAUAACAUGAAAGAUAAAUUUAAAAACAUAGUAGCAGAGAUAACAUCUAAAAACAACGUAAACUGUUGCUGCAUCAAGAUCCCAUAUGCAUAGCAUCUGUCCACAUGGUUGCUGCUAUAUUUGCUCUCCAAUUAUUAGCAUUCACUCUUUGUUGUUCUUGAGUGCCAUUUUGAACAUCAUCAUCCAUGUUCUCAUCUUCACCUAUUUCUUGAACAUCACUUUCAUUAUCAUCAGCGACAACAACUUCUUCAGGAAACACGUCUGAACGACAUUCUUUACGAAGAUAAUUAUGUAAAACAACACAUGCAAGAACUAACUCUGCUUGUGUUUCAUACGGAAAUGGUGGAGCAGAUUUGAAGAUGAGGAAUCUUGACUUAAAGAUGCCAAAAAUUCUCUCAAUCACAUUUCGCAAGGAUGAAUGACGAUGAUUGAACAACUCAUUUUGAUUCACAGGAUCUUUGCCCUGUCCCCUAAAAUCUUGAAGAUGAUAGCGAGUACUUCAAAUGGAGCCAGAAAAUUACGACGAUUGGCGUAUCCACAGUCGACUAAAUAUAAUUUUCCAGAAAUCAUAUAACAUAUAUCAAAUAGUUUUAAGAAAAUACAAAAAUAACACAUCAAUAUUUUAAUCAUAAGAACCAGACAUACCUUCUGGAACUUGUAAUCUGUUAGAAUUUCUUGUUAAAGCAUCUUGUAAUACUUUAGCAUCAUGAGCUGAACCUUCCCAUCCACUAAGAACAUAUAUAAAUUCUAAAUCAAAAUUGCAUGCAGCUAAAACAUUUUGUGAUAGUUGUCCUUUUCGAUUGCAAUAGCUAGAUGAAUCCUUUCCACUUAUCAUCGCAAGAAUAUGCGUUCCAUCUUGAAAUUUGUGGAAUACGUGAAGCGACAUUACGUACCUUCACAAUGAUAGAAAAGACCAGUAAGAGAAUAUCAACGUCUAUCUUGAAAUUUGACAUCUUUUUUCUCUUUUUCCUAAUUUGUAUCUCUUCAUUUGCAUUAACAAUAUGAGCCAUUGAAAUCUCUGCACAAAAACAUAAAUAACAAGUCAUAAGAAACUGUCUAAUUGGUGAACAAAGUGUGAAAUAAUGCUAGAUACUCACGUAAUAUAAAGCGGCGGUGAUGAACUUUAGCUAGAGAAGAAGAGGACAAAUAAAUAAGGUUACACAAAUCAUUAAGGAAUCGUAUCCUAACGAAUUAGCCGCCAAAUUUAGCCGCCAAAAUCAAUGUUUACUUUGAACAGAAUAUACUACUUUCCUAUGUAAAAUAUAAUUAUACCAUUGUAGGAGAAAACAAGAAGAUAGCUAAAAAACAAAAACAAUAACAUAUAAAGAACAAAAAUCAUAACAAUUCUGCAAAGAAGAAACAAAACCAUAGCUAAAGUAAUAAUAAAAACUCAACUUUAAAGAAAUAAAAACUCCAAGAUGACGAACUAUCUUUAGAACUCCGAUCAUGUUACUUCAGCCACUUGGUUUACGGAGAUUUCUUUUAAUCCAUCCACAACGAUCUGUUAUGGACAUAUUCACGAAACCAGAUUUCAUGCCUAAGUUGUGAACAAGGGUCAUCGCCUCAUAACGCAAAUCAUCAUCCAAGUCAGGAAUUUCCUUGAUAGCAUCCCAAACAUUGUUAGCUUUGUCUUCAGCUUCUUUUUCUUCAGCUUCCUUCACCCAUCUUUUCUGAAUCAUGUCAAAAAUUUGGCUACUGAUUUCUGUAACUUCCUCACAAACCCUUUCCGAGUUAUAUGCAUCUGUCCUAGCUUUCUUUCUAUGUGAAAGCUUUUCUCCAAUGCUUUUUCUUGAUGAAGGUUCACAUGUUUGCUGGUGUUCUAUUCCUCCUCCCUCAUAUAUCACAUGGACAAAAUCAUUAUCAUUUGUCUUCUCGUUCUCUUCAAAUUGAUAGGAUCCUGCAUCAACAGAAUCACCUAGUCCCACAGCAUUCUGCCCAGUUGCAGUAUUCUGUUCAAAUAUAGUCCUUAGCUCUUCAAAAGAAUCAUCACGCAGAUAUUUAUUAUUUGGAUGAGCCUAUUAAAAAAAGAUCACUAUAAUAAGAAUCAUAUGUAAACAACACAAACAUAAGCAUGAAUUUCAUAUUAUAAUUUUUUACCUGCAGAUAGACCUUCCAUACUUCAUCAUCUGCUGUGAAUUUUUUCGUUUCAGAGUCCCACCCAAAACCAGAACUACAACGAAGAAAAUCUGCAAACACUUGGUACCUACCCUUCAAGAUUUUCAUCCUAUUUUUAUACUGACCGUAGGUUUUUUUAGAUCCAACUUCUUGUUGUAGAGUUGUUAGUAUUCUGAAUUCGACCGUCAGUUUGUUGAAUUUGCCGCUGGCAUCACGAAAACCUUGAUUGAUUGCAUCCACUAGUAACCUCAAUAACAACUUGUGCUCAGGUCCAGACCAUGAGUGGUAUUGACCUUUACCUUUUACGUCUUUUGGAUCUCCCAUUGUUUGGAAGGUAACUAGUCAUAUAACACCACAAGAUUAUAAGAACCAAGAUAAUAAAUCUAUAGUCUUUGUAAAACCAUAUCUAAAAUAGUGAAUUAACAGGUUUUAUAUUGAUCGUCAAAAGACUCAAACCCAUAAAAGGAACAAUAUUCAAAGACAAACAUCAUCCAAAUUCAUGAAAACUAAACAAAAUAAUGAAACCAAUCUGAAACUACA